UCACUAGACAUAAGCACAGAUCAGAGAAUGGGCUACAACAUUACAGUCCUGUAUCUGUGCCCCACACGGAUCUAAAGAGGCUGCCCCGGGGAGUGGGGCCUUACAAUCUUUUCUUUAUCAUGGCACAUCAAUAACCCUGCUGUGCAACAGGGGCCAUAAAAUGCUGCAACAGCAGGGUGCUCCGCAGAUUACUGACAGCACUGGGAGCAAUAGCUCAUUUGUGCAACAAGUAGACCUUCCACCAGCAGGAACAUCAAAACUCUUGUUUUGAAUAUGGUCCCAAAUUUCACUUGGCCUGUCAAUGAUCAAAACACAUAACCGCUCCAACAGAUAUGGAUUUGACUGCAAUUGGCUCAGUGCUGCGUCUGUCUCCUUGUGAACCUAAGAGUGAAAGACACACCCUAAUUUGUAUCAAUGGCGCUGAGGUGGAGGAGAUCGAGAGCUUCAAGUUCCAAAGAGUAAAUAUCACCAACAAUUUGUUCUGGUCCAUCUGUAUCGAUGCUACAGUCAAGAAAGCAUACAAAUGCCUCUACUUCCUCAGAAGGCUAAGAAAAUAAAGUAUGUCCAUAAUGACUCAUCAUUUUUCAUAGAUGCAUCAUAGAAAACAUCCUUUCAAGAUCAAAGCUUGGUAUGGCAACUGCUUAUUCCAAGAUCGCAAGAAACUGCAGAGAGUUGUAAAUGCAGCCAGGUCCAUCAUAAAAACUAACCUUCCUUCCAUUGACUCCGUCUAUACUUCCCGCUGCCUCGGGAAAGCACCCAACAUAAUCAAAGACCCCCCCCCCCACCCCAGUUAUACUGUC